AUUGAACGCUGGCGGCAUGCUUUACACAUGCAAGUCGAACGGUAACAGGCCGCAAGGUGCUGACGAGUGGCGAACGGGUGAGUAAUGCAUCGGAACGUGCCCAGUCGUGGGGGAUAACGCAGCGAAAGCUGUGCUAAUACCGCAUACGAUCUAUGGAUGAAAGCGGGGGACCGUAAGGCUUCGCGCGAUUGGAGCGGCCGAUGUCAGAUUAGGUAGUUGGUGGGGUAAAGGCCUACCAAGCCGACGAUCUGUAGCUGGUCUGAGAGGACGACCAGCCACACUGGGACUGAGACACGGCCCAGACUCCUACGGGAGGCAGCAGUGGGGAAUUUUGGACAAUGGGCGCAAGCCUGAUCCAGCAAUGCCGCGUGCAGGAUGAAGGCCUUCGGGUUGUAAACUGCUUUUGUACGGAACGAAACGGCGAGCUCUAAUACAGUUUGCUAAUGACGGUACCGUAAGAAUAAGCACCGGCUAACUACGUGCCAGCAGCCGCAGUAAUAC
rnacentral:rRNA from 1 species